rnacentral:misc_RNA from 1 species
GUGAAUCAUCAAAUCUUUGAACGCAAAUUGCGCCUUUUUCGGAAGGCAUGUCUGUUUGCGGGUACCAUCUAACAAAUACCGUGUAUUUCGUGUGCACACGUUGAUGAGCUUUCCAACUUUAUGUAUUAUUUUUGGUGGCGCAUAAUAUACAGCGCGAUGCUUUUUUUCAGUUUGAGUGUAGUAAAUUUUUUUUUUGCUUGGGUUGUGAUAAGUGUGACCGUGUAACGGGUGUGG